CCUACGGGCGGCAGCAGUGGGGAAUAUUGGACAAUGGGGGAAACCCUUAUCCAGCGACGCCGCGUGAGGGAAGAAGGUUUUCGGAUUGUAAACCUCUGUCAGUGGGGACGAUAAUGACGGUUCCCACGGAGGAAGCCACGGCUAACUACGUGCCAGCAGCCGCGGUAAUACGUAGGUGGCAAGCGUUGUCCGGAAUUACUGGGUGUAAAGGGAGCGUAGGCGGGAGGUCAAGUCAGAAGUGAAAAUUACGGGCUCAACUCAUAACCUGCUUUUGACACUGAUAUUCUUGAGUGAAGUAGAGGCAAGCGGAGUUCGUGGGGUAGCGGUGAAAUGCGGAGAUAUUAGGAGGAACGCCAGUGGCGAAGGCGGCUUGCUGGGCUUUUACUGACGCGGAGGCUCGAAAGCGUGGGGAGCAAACAGGAUUAGAUACCCCAGUAGUC
rnacentral:rRNA from 1 species